CUAAAAUGUCCUGAAGCUAAAUUCAGAAGAAAUGGAGUUGAUUUUUGUGUCAAUAAGAUUUCAUUUCUGACCUUACAAAUGGAAAGCACAGCUUAAUUGGUUGAACGGCAGUUUCAGUACCUCAAGUAUUUGGGGAUCUUCCUGACCCAGGGAUCAAACCCAAGUCUCCUGCAUUGCAGGUGAAUUCGUUGCACUGAGCCACCAGGAAAGUGCCCCCUGCUGAAACUAAAUGCAAG
rnacentral:lncRNA from 1 species